UGUCGCAAGACCAAAGUGGGGGACCUUCGGGCCUCAUGCCAUCAGAUGUGCCCAGAUGGGAUUAGGUAGUAGGUGGGGUAACGGCUCACCUAGGCGACGAUCCCUAGCUGGUCUGAGAGGAUGACCAGCCACACUGGAACUGAGACACGGUCCAGACUCCUACGGGAGGCAGCAGUGGGGAAUAUUGCACAAUGGGCGCAAGCCUGAUGCAGCCAUGCCGCGUGUGUGAAGAAGGCCUUCGGGUUGUAAAGCACUUUCAGCGGGGAGGAAGGCGAUAAGGUUAAUAACCUUGUCGAUUGACGUUACCCGCAGAAGAAGCACCGGCUAACUCCGUGCCAGCAGCCGCGGUAAUACGGAGGGUGCAAGCGUUAAUCGGAAUUACUGGGCGUAAAGCGCACGCAGGCGGUCUGUCAAGUCGGAUGUGAAAUCCCCGGGCUCAACCUGGGAACUGCAUUCGAAACUGGCAGGCUAGAGUCUUGUAGAGGGGGGUAGAAUUCCAGGUGUAGCGGUGAAAUGCGUAGAGAUCUGGAGGAAUACCGGUGGCGAAG
rnacentral:rRNA from 1 species